rnacentral:rRNA from 1 species
AUUGAACGCUGGCGGCAGGCUUAACACAUGCAAGUCGAGCGAGCGGCGGACGGGUGAGUAAUGUAUGGGGAACUGCCUGAUGGAGGGGGAUAACUACUGGAAACGGUAGCUAAUACCGCAUACCAUCAGAUGAACCCAGAUGGGAUUAGCUAGUAGGUGAGGUAAUGGCUCACCUAGGCGACGAUCCCUAGCUGGUCUGAGAGGAUGAGCAGCCACACUGGAACUGAGACACGGCCCAGACUCCUACGGGAGGCAGCAGUUGGGAAUAUUGCACAAUGGGCGCAAGCCUGAUGCAGCCAUGCCGCGUGUGUGAAGAAGGCCUUCGGGUUGUAAAGCACUUUCAGCGAGGAGGCGUUACUCGCAGAAGAAGCACCGGCUAACUCCGUGCCAGCAGCCGCGGUAAUUC